rnacentral:rRNA from 1 species
GAUGAACGCUAGCGGGAGGCUUAACACAUGCAAGUCGAGGGGCAGCAUAGGGUAGCAAUACUCUGAUGGCGACCGGCAAACGGGUGAGUAACGCGUAUGCAACCUACCCUGUACAGGGGGAUAACCCGGAGAAAUUCGGACUAAUAUCCCGUAAUAAUAUCCGGAGGCAUCUUUGGAUAUUUAAAGUUCCGACGGUACGGGAUGGGCAUGCGUAACAUUAGCUGGUUGGUAAGGUAACGGCUUACCAAGGCUAUGAUGUUUAGGGGUCCUGAGAGGGUGGUCCCCCACACUGGUACUGAGACACGGACCAGACUCCUACGGGAGGCAGCAGUGAGGAAUAUUGGUCAAUGGGCGCAAGCCUGAACCAGCCAUCCCGCGUGCAGGAAGACGGCCCUAUGGGUUGUAAACUGCUUUUCCAGGGAGAGAAACUUACGCACGUGUUGCGUGACUGACGGUACCUGGGAAUAAGCAUCGGCUAACUCCGUG